rnacentral:rRNA from 1 species
AGCGAACGCUGGCGGCACGCCUAACACAUACAAGUCGAACGGGCUCCUCGGCGCUAGUGGCGGACGGGUGAGUAACACGGGGGAACGUGCCUUUGGGUUGGGAAAACGCCGGGGAAACUGGGUAUAAUCCCGGGUGUGCCCUUCGGGGGAAAGAUUUAUCGCCUUUAGAGCGGCCCGCGUCUGAUUAGCUAGUUGGUGGUGUAAUGGACCACCAAGGCGACGAUCAGUAGCUGGUCUGAGAGGAUGAUCAGCCACAUUGGGACUGAGACACGGCCCAAACUCCUACGGGAGGCAGCAGUGGGGAAUCUUGCGCAAUGGGCGAAAGCCUGACGCAGCCAUGCCGCGUGAAUGAUGAAGGUCUUAGGAUUGUAAAAUUCUUUCACCGGGGACGAUAAUGACGGUACCCGGAGAAGAAGCCCCGGCUAACUUCGUGCCAGCCGCCGCCGUAAAAC